UCAAACUUGGUCAUUUAGAGGAAGUAAAAGUCGUAACAAGGUUUCCGUAGGUGAACCUGCGGAAGGAUCAUUAGAGAAAGCGCUCCCCCCCCGGGGCGCAACUAUCUAAACAACCCAACACCCGUGCAUCUCCCGGGUCGCGGAAGCGGCCCGUUUUUUUUCUCCACGCCCACUCCGUAACGUACCCGAACGCCUAAAAGUUAUAUACAACUUUCAACAAUGGAUCUCUUGGCUCUCGCAUCGAUGAAGAACGCAGC
rnacentral:misc_RNA from 1 species